GACGAACGCUGGCGGCGUGCUUAACACAUGCAAGUCGAACGAAGUGGCGAACGGGUGAGUAAUGCGUAAUCAACCUGCCCUUCAGAGGGGUACAACAGUGGGAAACGACUGCUAAUACCAGAUCCUGAUGGUGGGGAGGGUGGCUGAUUAGCUAGUUGGAGGGGUAACGGCCCCCCAAGGCGAUGAUCAGUAGCAGGGCUGAGAGGAUGGACGGCCACAUUGGGACUGAGACACGGCCCAGACUCCUACGGGCGGCAGCCGUGGGGAAUCUUCCGCAAUGGACGAAAGUCUGACGGAGCAACGCCGCGUGAGUGAUGACGGCCUUCGGGUUGUAAAGCUCUGUUAAUCGGGACGCGGUACCGGAAUAGAAAGCCACGGCUAACUACGUGCCAGCAGCCGCGGUAAUUC
rnacentral:rRNA from 1 species